UACGUAGGGCGCAAGCGUUGUCCGGAAUUAUUGGGCGUAAAGGGUGCGUAGAUGGCCUGAUAAGUUAGCAGUGGGAAAUCGAGGCUCAACCUCGUGGAAGCUGGUAAUACUGUCAGGCUCGAGUGCAGGAGAGGUUAACGGAACUCCAUGUGGAGCGGUAAAAUGUGUAGAUAUAUGGAAGAACACCAAUAACGGCGAAGGCAGUUAACUAUUCUGUUACUGACAUUGAGGCACGAAAGCGUGGGGAGCAAAACGG
rnacentral:rRNA from 1 species